rnacentral:rRNA from 1 species
CGCGUAGGCUGGUAUUUAAGUCGAUUGUGAAAUCCCCUGGGCUUAACCUAGGAAUUGCAGUCGAUACUGAAUACCUUGAGUAUGGUAGAGGAAAGUGGAAUUCUCGGUGUAGUGGUUAAAUACGUAGAUAUCGAGAAGAACACCGGUGGCGAAGGCGACUUUCUGGACCAAUACUGACGCUGAGGCGCGAAAGCGUGGGGAGCAAACA